CCAAUGCUGCAUUGUCCGUGUAAAAUAGUAUGCGGUGGUUUCGCAUGAGAUGACCCCAUAAGUGGACACUGAGGACAAUUGGAAAAAACUCUAAAACAACAAUGUUGAGCUUUUUCCAUUCCUCAGGCCAAGGCCCAUAAAACCAAAGGUUGCCAAAUAUAGCCCCAAAGCCAUGACCCGCAGCGGCAUCAGUAUACAAAUUCAAAAGGUUGGAAGGGAGCCAAUCAUCGGAAAGAAAAAACGACCGGCCAUUGAAAUCAUCCAGAAAGGAUUUCCAAAGGCCUAAAUCUGCUUUAACUGACC